rnacentral:lncRNA from 1 species
ACCGGAAAUUACAUCAUCAGUCAUCACGUUCCUCCUCAGGCCACUGAGCCCGGACUGGGAUGGGGUACCAGCCCCGCUGAGACUCCAGCUCUCCACUGCAGAUCUUGAGGUUAUCUCUUCUCUUCUUUCAAAUAAGUCACCAACCAAGCAAACAAAUAUAAUCACACCAACAGUGCGGGUGUGGCUGUUACUCUCAUACCUCAAAUGACUUCAGUGGAGUCAAGUUGCUACUGAUAAAAAGAGAAAACAAAGUAGAGCCAUUGAGACUGACUCGUGUCUUGUCGUUCAAGAGGCCUACUGGCAAUAAUGCCACCUCCUACUUCCUCUACACGGACCCUCAAUCCUGCCUGCCUGUUUCGGUGACUGUCUUGCUUCGCUGACUGCAGCAGUACCCACCUCAGUACCAGCCAGACUUUCUUCCCUCUUCAAAUCCACAUCAGAGCAGCUUCAAGUCGAAGAUCCAGGAUAAGAACCAGCAUCACCGCCCAGGCCCUUCUCCUUGUAACUGUUGUUGAGCAGUUUCUGUGGGUUUGGGGUCCCCCCUCCCCCACCGUGCUAAGUCCACCUUCCUGGUCUGUGUGGAAUGUAAGAGUUGUUAUACUUAUGGCUUCCUUUCCUUUCCUUUCCUUUCCUUUCCUUUCCUUUCCUUUCCUUUCCUUUCCUUUCCUUUCCUUUCCUUCUCUUUGUAACAAGGUCUCACAGUGUGCCCUGAAUUGGCUUUGAUUUUCUUUCCUACCUUCAGAAUCCCCAAUCCUGUUAUCAUUUCCAACCCCCUCAGCACCUCCUCAUUGGGCUCCUUUGUAUUCUCGUUCACAGUGCUAACGUGAUUCCACAGAACGCUGAUCGUGGCUCCAAAAU